rnacentral:rRNA from 1 species
GACGGAGGAUGCAAGUGUUAUCCGGAAUCACUGGGCGUAAAGCGUCUGUAGGUGGUUCGAAAAGUCCACUGUUAAAAAUUGAAGCUUAACUUCAAAGAUGCCGUGGAAACUUUUCAAACUAGAGUGUGGUAGGGGUAGAGGGAAUUUUCCAGUGGAGCGGUGAAUGCGUAGAUAUUUGGAAAGACCACCGAUGGCGAAGGCAACUCUA